rnacentral:rRNA from 1 species
CGUCCUCCUACACCGCGCUGGUCAAGAUGCCGCGUAUGAGAAGAAGGCCUGCGGGUUGUAAAGCACUUUCGGUGGGGACAAAAAGCGUUGCACCAAUACUGCAAUGUUUGAUUUAACCCAUAGAAGAAGCACCGGCUAACUCUGUG